GGUUAAGCGACUAAGCGUACACGGUGGAUGCCCUGGCAGUCAGAGGCGAUGAAGGACGUGCUAAUCUGCGAAAAGCGUCGGUAAGGUGAUAUGAACCGUUAUAACCGGCGAUGUCCGAAUGGGGAAACCCAGUGCAAUUCGUUGCACUAUCGUUAACUGAAUACAUAGGUUAACGAGGCGAACCGGGGGAACUGAAACAUCUAAGUACCCCGAGGAAAAGAAAUCAACCGAGAUUCCCCCAGUAGCGGCGAGCGAACGGGGAGCAGCCCAGAGUCUGAAUCAGCUUGUGUGUUAGUGGAACGGUCUGGAAAGUCCGACGGUACAGGGUGAUAGUCCCGUACACCAAAAUGCACAGGCUGUGAACUCGAAGAGUAGGGCGGGACACGUGGUAUCCUGUCUGAAUAUGGGGGACCAUCCUCCAAGGCUAAAUACUCCUGACUGACCGAUAGUGAACCAGUACCGUGAGGGAAAGGCGAAAAGAACCCCGGCGAGGGGAGUGAAAAAGAACCUGAAACCGUGUACGUACAAGCAGUGGGAGCACCUUCGGGUGUGACUGCGUACCUUUUGUAUAAUGGGUCAGCGACUUAUAUUCUGUAGCAAGGUUAACCGUAUAGGGGAGCCGCAGGGAAACCGAGUCUUAACUGGGCGUUAAGUUGCAGGGUAUAGACCCGAAACCCGGUGAUCUAGCCAUGGGCAGGUUGAAGGUUGGGUAACACUAACUGGAGGACCGAACCGACUAAUGUUGAAAAAUUAGCGGAUGACUUGUGGCUGGGGGUGAAAGGCCAAUCAAACCGGGAGAUAGCUGGUUCUCCCCGAAAGCUAUUUAGGUAGCGCCUCGUGAAUUCAUCUUCGGGGGUAGAGCACUGUUUCGGCUAGGGGGUCAUCCCGACUUACCAACCCGAUGCAAACUACGAAUACCGAAGAAUGUUAUCACGGGAGACACACGGCGGGUGCUAACGUCCGUCGUGAAGAGGGAAACAACCCAGACCGCCAGCUAAGGUCCCAAAGUCAUGGUUAAGUGGGAAACGAUGUGGGAAGGCACAGACAGCCAGGAUGUUGGCUUAGAAGCAGCCAUCAUUUAAAGAAAGCGUAAUAGCUCACUGGUCGAGUCGGCCUGCGCGGAAGAUGUAACGGGGCUAAACCAUGCACCGAAGCUGCGGCAGCGACACUAUGUGUUGUUGGGUAGGGGAGCGUUCUGUAAGCCUGCGAAGGUGUGCUGUGAGGCAUGCUGGAGGUAUCAGAAGUGCGAAUGCUGACAUAAGUAACGAUAAAGCGGGUGAAAAGCCCGCUCGCCGGAAGACCAAGGGUUCCUGUCCAACGUUAAUCGGGGCAGGGUGAGUCGACCCCUAAGGCGAGGCCGAAAGGCGUAGUCGAUGGGAAACAGGUUAAUAUUCCUGUACUUGGUGUUACUGCGAAGGGGGGACGGAGAAGGCUAUGUUAGCCGGGCGACGGUUGUCCCGGUUUAAGCAUGUAGGCUGAUUAUCCAGGCAAAUCCGGAUAAUCAAGGCUGAGGUGUGAUGACGAGGCACUACGGUGCUGAAGUAACAAAUGCCCUGCUUCCAGGAAAAGCCUCUAAGCAUCAGGUAACAUCAAAUCGUACCCCAAACCGACACAGGUGGUCAGGUAGAGAAUACCAAGGCGCUUGAGAGAACUCGGGUGAAGGAACUAGGCAAAAUGGUGCCGUAACUUCGGGAGAAGGCACGCUGGUGUGUAGGUGAAGCCCCUGCGGGUGGAGCUGAGACCAGUCGAAGAUACCAGCUGGCUGCAACUGUUUAUUAAAAACACAGCACUGUGCAAACACGAAAGUGGACGUAUACGGUGUGACGCCUGCCCGGUGCCGGAAGGUUAAUUGAUGGGGUUAUCCGUAAGGAGAAGCUCUUGAUCGAAGCCCCGGUAAACGGCGGCCGUAACUAUAACGGUCCUAAGGUAGCGAAAUUCCUUGUCGGGUAAGUUCCGACCUGCACGAAUGGCGUAAUGAUGGCCAGGCUGUCUCCACCCGAGACUCAGUGAAAUUGAACUCGCUGUGAAGAUGCAGUGUACCCGCGGCAAGACGGAAAGACCCCGUGAACCUUUACUAUAGCUUGACACUGAACAUUGAGCCUUGAUGUGUAGGAUAGGUGGGAGGCUUUGAAGCGUGGACGCCAGUCUGCGUGGAGCCAACCUUGAAAUACCACCCUUUAAUGUUUGAUGUUCUAACGUUGGCCCCUGACCGGGGUUGCGGACAGUGUCUGGUGGGUAGUUUGACUGGGGCGGUCUCCUCCCAAAGCGUAACGGAGGAGCACGAAGGUUAGCUAAUCCUGGUCGGACAUCAGGAGGUUAGUGCAAUGGCAUAAGCUAGCUUGACUGCGAGCGUGACGGCGCGAGCAGGUGCGAAAGCAGGUCAUAGUGAUCCGGUGGUUCUGAAUGGAAGGGCCAUCGCUCAACGGAUAAAAGGUACUCCGGGGAUAACAGGCUGAUACCGCCCAAGAGUUCAUAUCGACGGCGGUGUUUGGCACCUCGAUGUCGGCUCAUCACAUCCUGGGGCUGAAGUAGGUCCCAAGGGUAUGGCUGUUCGCCAUUUAAAGUGGUACGCGAGCUGGGUUUAGAACGUCGUGAGACAGUUCGGUCCCUAUCUGCCGUGGGCGCUGGAGAAUUGAGGGGGGCUGCUCCUAGUACGAGAGGACCGGAGUGGACGCAUCACUGGUGUUCGGGUUGUCAUGCCAAUGGCACUGCCCGGUAGCUAAAUGCGGAAGAGAUAAGUGCUGAAAGCAUCUAAGCACGAAACUUGCCCCGAGAUGAGUUCUCCCUGAGACUUUAAGUCUCCUGAAGGAACGUUGAAGACGACGACGUUGAUAGGCCGGGUGUGUAAGCGCAGCGAUGCGUUGAGCUAACCGGUACUAAUGAACCGUGAGGCUUAACCUU
rnacentral:rRNA from 1 species